rnacentral:lncRNA from 1 species
UCCCCUCCAUCCUCUUCCUUCUCCUCCUCCUCUUCUUUAAAACCACAUCCAGUCCAGUGAGUGUUGCCUGAACACACAUGGGUAUUGAGCCAUCCCAGGGGCUUGGGCAGCCUACCAGCAGCCAUCCAUACCUUUGGAGAAGCUUGGCUGUCCUUCCUUGGAAGCAUCCAUUGGCCUAUGACCUCCGGACCCACAACUUUUGACUAGGUGCAUGGUCCUAGACUUGCCUUCUCUCCUAUGAAGCAGACCUCAGAUCCCGUCAGAAAACAGGUGGCUCCCACAACCACCAUGCCUCUAUGGCACUGGUAGCAGGGCUUGCUUUGGCUUAGUUCCUUAACUUCCAGCUACCUUGAGAUCUUCUAGGCAGCUCCCCUGCAGCCAGAGAACCAGCUAUUCAGCUGCGUGUGACAGAUGACAAUGUCCCUACCCCUACCUGCCUGCCCACCCAGAACUCUGACCUGGUGUCAGCCUCUUGUGCUAAAAGGAGGCAUCUACAGCUGCUGGCCAAGGGCAGAAUCUGAACAGCUCCGGUUAUGUAACAUGUAUAUCACUGGGAUGUGUACCGAGAGUCCACCUGAUGGGACUCAGACUCACCAUGGAAACCUGGGUAUGGGACUCAGAGUCACCAUGGAAACCAGCCUCUGGGUAUGCCUGUCAGGAAGCUUCUAGAGUGUGUUCACAGAAGUGGGAAGAGCCACCCUGCGUGUUGGCAGUGCCAUCUCUUCGUGAUCUGGAGUCCCGGACAGAAUGAAAAGGAGCAAGCAAGCUGAGUACCAGCAGUCUCCUCUCUCUGCUUCCUGACAGUGGGUGCCAUGUGACCAGCUGUCUCAUGUUCCUGCCACUGUGCCUCCCCGCCAUGACGGACUGUGCACCCUCACACUGUGAGCCAACGCGAACCCUUCCUUCUUUAAGGUGCUUUUUGUUACAGCGGUGAGAUGAUGGCUAAUAUGCUAAGACACACAUGCACAGUGUGCAGGGCUCACGUGGACGACACAAUCCCUGCCACAUCUCACUUGACUAGCUCUCAGCAUCUGCUUCAGCCGCUCUUCUAGGAAACCACUCUUAUUCUUCUGGACUCUCUUUUGCUCAUAAAUUAAAAUGCAAAUUCUAUC